GGACCCGCACAAGCGGUGGAGCAUGUGGUUUAAUUCGAUGCAACGCGAAGAACCUUACCUGGCCUUGACAUCCAUGGAAUCCCGAAGAGAUUUGGGAGUGCCGCAAGGAACCAUGAGACAGGUGCUGCAUGGCUGUCGUCAGCUCGUGUCGUGAGAUGUUGGGUUAAGUCCCGCAACGAGCGCAACCCUUGUCCUUAGUUGCCAUCAUUAAGUUGGGAACUCUAAGGAGACCGCCGGUGACAAACCGGAGGAAGGUGGGGAUGACGUCAAGUCAUCAUGGCCUUUAUGGCCAGGGCUACACACGUGCUACAAUGGCAAGUACAGAGGGAAGCCAACUCGCGAGAGGGAGCUAAUCCCAGAAAACUUGUCUUAGUCCGGAUUGGAGUCUGCAACUCGACUCCAUGAAGUUGGAAUCGCUAGUAAUCGCAGAUCAGCAUUGCUGCGGUGAAUACGUUCCCGGGUCUU
rnacentral:rRNA from 1 species